rnacentral:rRNA from 1 species
GUUGAAGGUUGGGUAACACUAACUGGAGGACCGAACCGACUAAUGUUGAAAAAUUAGCGGAUGACUUGUGGCUGGGGGUGAAAGGCCAAUCAAACCGGGAGAUAGCUGGUUCUCCCCGAAAGCUAUUUAGGUAGCGCCUCGUGAAUUCAUCUCCGGGGGUAGAGCACUGUUUCGGCAAGGGGGUCAUCCCGACUUACCAACCCGAUGCAAACUGCGAAUACCGGAGAAUGUUAUCACGGGAGACACACGGCGGGUGCUAACGUCCGUCGUGAAGAGGGAAACAACCCAGACCGCCAGCUAAGGUCCCAAAGUCAUGGUUAAGUGGGAAACGAUGUGGGAAGGCCCAGACAGCCAGGAUGUUGGCUUAGAAGCAGCCAUCAUUUAAAGAAAGCGUAAUAGCUCACUGGUCGAGUCGGCCUGCGCGGAAGAUGUAACGGGGCUAAACCAUGCACCGAAGCUGCGGCAGCGACGCUUAUGCGUUGUUGGGUAGGGGAGCGUUCUGUAAGCCUGUGAAGGUGUGCUGUGAGGCAUGCUGGAGGUAUCAGAAGUGCGAAUGCUGACAUAAGUAACGAUAAAGCGGGUGAAAAGCCCGCUCGCCGGAAGACCAAGGGUUCCUGUCCAACGUUAAUCGGGGCAGGGUGAGUCGACCCCUAAGGCGAGGCCGAAAGGCGUAGUCGAUGGGAAACAGGUUAAUAUUCCUGUACUUGGUGUUACUGCGAAGGGGGGACGGAGAAGGCUAUGUUGGCCGGGCGACGGUUGUCCCGGUUUAAGCGUGUAGGCUGGUUUUCCAGGCAAAUCCGGAAAAUCAAGGCUGAGGCGUGAUGACGAGGCACUACGGUGCUGAAGCAACAAAUGCCCUGCUUCCAGGAAAAGCCUCUAAGCAUCAGGUAACAUCAAAUCGUACCCCAAACCGACACAGGUGGUCAGGUAGAGAAUACCAAGGCGCUUGAGAGAACUCGGGUGAAGGAACUAGGCAAAAUGGUGCCGUAACUUCGGGAGAAGGCACGCUGAUAUGUAGGUGAAGUCCCUCGCGGAUGGAGCUGAAAUCAGUCGAAGAUACCAGCUGGCUGCAACUGUUUAUUAAAAACACAGCACUGUGCAAACACGAAAGUGGACGUAUACGGUGUGACGCCUGCCCGGUGCCGGAAGGUUAAUUGAUGGGGUCAGCGCAAGCGAAGCUCUUGAUCGAAGCCCCGGUAAACGGCGGCCGUAACUAUAACGGUCCUAAGGUAGCGAAAUUCCUUGUCGGGUAAGUUCCGACCUGCACGAAUGGCGUAAUGAUGGCCAGGCUGUCUCCACCCGAGACUCAGUGAAAUUGAACUCGCUGUGAAGAUGCAGUGUACCCGCGGCAAGACGGAAAGACCCCGUGAACCUUUACUAUAGCUUGACACUGAACAUUGAGCCUUGAUGUGUAGGAUAGGUGGGAGGCUUUGAAGUGUGGACGCCAGUCUGCAUGGAGCCGACCUUGAAAUACCACCCUUUAAUGUUUGAUGUUCUAACGUUGACCCGUAAUCCGGGUUGCGGACAGUGUCUGGUGGGUAGUUUGACUGGGGCGGUCUCCUCCUAAAGAGUAACGGAGGAGCACGAAGGUUGGCUAAUCCUGGUCGGACAUCAGGAGGUUAGUGCAAUGGCAUAAGCCAGCUUGACUGCGAGCGUGACGGCGCGAGCAGGUGCGAAAGCAGGUCAUAGUGAUCCGGUGGUUCUGAAUGGAAGGGCCAUCGCUCAACGGAUAAAAGGUACUCCGGGGAUAACAGGCUGAUACCGCCCAAGAGUUCAUAUCGACGGCGGUGUUUGGCACCUCGAUGUCGGCUCAUCACAUCCUGGGGCUGAAGUAGGUCCCAAGGGUAUGGCUGUUCGCCAUUUAAAGUGGUACGCGAGCUGGGUUUAGAACGUCGUGAGACAGUUCGGUCCCUAUCUGCCGUGGGCGCUGGAGAACUGAGGGGGGCUGCUCCUAGUACGAGAGGACCGGAGUGGACGCAUCACUGGUGUUCGGGUUGUCAUGCCAAUGGCACUGCCCGGUAGCUAAAUGCGGAAGAGAUAAGUGCUGAAAGCAUCUAAGCACGAAACUUGCCCCGAGAUGAGUUCUCCCUGACCCUUUAAGGGUCCUGAAGGAACGU